rnacentral:rRNA from 1 species
UACGGGGGGGCAAGCGUUGUUCGGAAUUACUGGGCGUAAAGGGCUCGUAGGCGGCCAACUAAGUCAUACGUGAAAUCCCUCGGCUUAACCGGGGAACUGCGUCUGAUACUGGAUGGCUUGAGUUCGGGAGAGGGAUGCGGAAUUCCAGGUGUAGCGGUGAAAUGCGUUGAUAUCUAGGGGAACACCAAAAGCGAAGGCAAGAGACUAGGGCAUCCCUGACACUGAAACACGAAAGCGUGGGUAGCGAAUGGG